rnacentral:rRNA from 1 species
GAAGAGCUCAAAUUUGAAGUCUGGCGGUCUCAGGCCGUCCGAGUUGUAAUCUAGAGAGGUGUUUUCCGUGCCGGACCGUGUACAAGUCCCUUGGAACAGGGCGUCAUAGAGGGUGAGAAUCCCGUCCUUGACAUGGACCCCCGGUGCUUUGUGAUACAUUUUCAACGAGUCGAGUUGUUUGGGAAUGCAGCUCUAAAUGGGAGGUAAAUUUCUUCUAAAGCUAAAUAUUGGCGAGAGACCGAUAGCGCACAAGUAGAGUGAUCGAAAGAUGAAAAGCACUUUGGAAAGAGAGUUAAAAAGCACGUGAAAUUGUUGAAAGGGAAGCGCUUGCAAUCAGACUUG